GAUCCUCGCUCAGGAUGAACGCUAGCUACAGGCUUAACACAUGCAAGUCGAGGGGCAGCAUGGUCUUAGCUUGCUAAGGCCGAUGGCGACCGGCGCACGGGUGGGUAACACGUAUCCAACCUGCCGUCUACUCUUGGACAGCCUUCUGAAAGGAAGAUUAAUACAAGAUGGCAUCAUGAGUCCGCAUGUUCACAUGAUUAAAGGUAUUCCGGUAGACGAUGGGGAUGCG
rnacentral:rRNA from 1 species